rnacentral:rRNA from 2 species
CAGUGAUAAACUGGAGGAAGGUGGGGAUGACGUCAAGUCAUCAUGGCCCUUACGACCAGGGCUACACACGUGCUACAAUGGCGCAUACAAAGAGAAGCGACCUCGCGAGAGCAAGCGGACCUCAUAAAGUGCGUCGUAGUCCGGAUUGGAGUCUGCAACUCGACUCCAUGAAGUCGGAAUCGCUAGUAAUCGUGGAUCAGAAUGCCACGGUGAAUACGUUCCCGGGCCUUGUACACACCGCCCGUCACACCAUGGGAGUGGGUUGCAAAAGAAGUAGGUAGCUUAACCUUCGGGAGGGCGCUUACCAC